AGGAGCAUUUUAAAAUUUUCCUCAAUUUAGUUCCCAAUUCUGCUUAUAAAAUGCUCUUUUCCUCCAAUAUUUCACCCAUUUUCUAGUUUAUAGUCUUAAACCUGUUGCUUUAAUAGGUAUGUGAUUAAUUGGGAAAUAAUUGUGGAUUUGGAUAUUGGACUUAGUAUUGUUAUUAUUAUUUCAGUUGGGCUUUAAUAUAUGCAUUGGUUUGGGCCUUGGAUAUUUAACUUAUUGAUUUUGGGCUUUUGGUUAAUUUUG
rnacentral:lncRNA from 1 species